GUCCCUGACUCAGCAGAAUUCCCAAUUCCUUCUCGUCCAUCACCACAUUGAAGCUGGUUGGUCAGCCAGAGAGAGAUGGAGAGUGAGAUCUGGAGCCUUCAGUAAAUCCUGCAGCCGGUACUCAGGAGGUUCCUGAAUCAAUAGACUUCCCAACUGCUGUGUGUCUCAUCCAUCACCUCAUUGAAGAUGGUUGGUCAGCCAGGGAGACAAAGGGCAGGGAGAUCUGGAGCCUUCAAUAAAUCCUGCAGUGAGGUAAUCAGGAUGUUCCUAACUCCUGUCUCAUCCAUCACCUCAUUGAAGCUGGUUGGUCAGCCAGAGAGAGAGAGAGAGAUAGAGAGAGGGAGACCUGGAGCCUUCAGUCAAUCCUGCAGCCGGUACUCAGGAAAGUGCUGACUCCAUAGACUUCCCAAUUGCUGGGUGUCUCGUCCAACACCUCAUUGAAGUUGAUUGGUCAGCCAGAGAGACAAAGGGCAGAGAGAUCUGGAGCCUUCAAUAAAUCCUGCAGUGAGGUACUCAGGAAAGUCCUGACUCAAUAGCCUUCCCAGCUGCGGGGUGGAUUGUCCAUCACCACAUUGAACGCAGUUGGUCUGCCAGAGGGAGACAAAGGGCAGGGAGAUCUGGAGCCUUCAAUAAAUCCUGUAGUGAGGUAUUCCUGAUGUCCCUGACUCAGCACAAUUCCCAAUUCCUGUCUCGUCCAUCACCACAUUGAAGACGGUUGGUCAGCCAGAGAGAGAUGGAGAGUGAGAU